GAUGAAGAACGUAGCGAAAUGCGAUAAGUAAUGUGAAUUGCAGAAUUCAGUGAAUCAUCGAAUCUUUGAACGCACAUUGCGCCCGCCAGUAUUCUGGCGGGCAUGCCUGUCUGAGCGUCAUUAAGUCCACUUAAGCCCUGCUUAGUGUUGGGAGACUGCUCCAGCGGUGCUACCCUGUAGCUACCCUGCAGCUCCUCAAAGACAGCGGCGGAGUUGUGGUAUCCUCUGAGCUUAGUAACUUGUUCUAGCUUUCGAGUACACCACUUCCCCUGCCGUAAAACCCUUAAUUUUUAAUGGUUGACCUCGGAUCAGGUAGGAAUACCCGCUGAACUUAAGCAUAUCAAUAAGCGGAGGA
rnacentral:misc_RNA from 1 species